rnacentral:rRNA from 1 species
AGAGUUUGAUCCUGGCUCAGAUUGAACGCUGGCGGCAGGCCUAACACAUGCAAGUCGAGCGGUAGAGAGAAGCUUGCUUCUCUUGAGAGCGGCGGACGGGUGAGUAAUGCCUAGGAAUCUGCCUAGUGGUGGGGGAUAACGUUCGGAAACGGACGCUAAUACCGCAUACGUCCUACGGGAGAAAGCGGGGGACCUUCGGGCCUCGCGCCAUUAGAUGAGCCUAGGUCGGAUUAGCUAGUUGGUGAGGUAAUGGCUCACCAAGGCGACGAUCCGUAACUGGUCUGAGAGGAUGAUCAGUCACACUGGAACUGAGACACGGUCCAGACUCCUACGGGAGGCAGCAGUGGGGAAUAUUGGACAAUGGGCGAAAGCCUGAUCCA